rnacentral:sRNA from 2 species
GUCUCCCAUCACUCGCAAACUCUUCCACUUGUUCCUUGCGACUCCAAUGCCGCAUCUAGUGGUCGAAACCGUCCUCGAGAGAGGGCCAUCGAUACCUGUCUAGUAUCGGUUCCCUAUUGUUGUCAAAGAACAUGUCACGGCCGUCCCAUUUCUACCACCGACUAUCUAGCAAAUCGAUACCGUCGGGUCCGGCGCGGAGAACGUCGAUAUAUUGAGAAACGAGUUCGUCCGGACAAGGGAACUCCGCGGUAAAGAGUUACUUGAGUCCAAGAACUCGCCAGAUGAGCAGACCCAAAGACC